rnacentral:rRNA from 1 species
AUUGAACGCUGGCGGCAGGCCUAACACAUGCAAGUCGAACGAGUGGCGGACGGGUGAGUAAUGUCUGGGAAACUGCCUGAUGGAGGGGGAUAACUACUGGAAACGGUAGCUAAUACAGCAUACCAUCAGAUGUGCCCAGAUGGGAUUAGCUAGUGGGUGGGGUAACGGCUCACCAAGGCGACGAGCCCUAGCUGGUCUGAGAGGAUGACCAGCCACACUGGAACUGAGACACGGUCAGGACUCCUCGGGGAGGCAGACGUGGGGAAUAUUGCACAAGGGGCGAAGGCCUGAUGCAGCACUGCGGCGUGUAUGAAGAAGGCUGUCGGGUUGUAAAGUACUUUCAGCGGGGAGGCGUUACCCGCAGAAGAAGCACCGGCUAACUCCGUGCCAGCAGCCGCGGUAAUAC